rnacentral:rRNA from 1 species
CCUACGGGAGGCAGCAGUGAGGAAUAUUGGACAAUGGGCGCAAGCCUGAUCCAGCCAUGCCGCGUGCAGGAAGAAGCAUCUAUGGUGUGUAAACUGCUUUUGUACAGGAAGAAACACUCCCUCGUGAGGGAGCUUGACGGUACUGUAAGAAUAAGGACCGGCUAACUCCGUGCCAGCAGCCGCGGUAAUACGGAGGGUCCGAGCGUUAUCCGGAAUCAUUGGGUUUAAAGGGUCCGUAGGCGGUUUAAUAAGUCAGUGGUGAAAUCUGGUCGCUCAACGAUCAAACGGCCAUUGAUACUGUUAGACUUGAAUUAUAAGGAAGUAACUAGAAUAUGUAGUGUAGCGGUGAAAUGCUUAGAUAUUACAUGGAAUACCAAUUGCGAAGGCAGGUUACUACUUAUGGAUUGACGCUGAUGGACGAAAGCGUGGGGAGCGAACAGGAUUAGAUACCCUGGUAGUCCACGCCGUAAACGAUGGAUACUAGCUGUUCGGAGCAAUUNUGNGUGNGUAGAGAAGUAGANAAGUAUACCACCUCGGGAGGUACGGUUCGUCGAGAAGUAGAAACGUACGAAGAAGUUAGUACGGACGUGAGAGUAGACGACGACGACGACGAGGGAGGAGG